GCAAUUCUCUGCCAGAAUUUCUCAUUAGGUUGUUCCACACAGACAGUCCUCUUCAGAUCCUUUAUGUCCCAUGUUAAAUAUGUUCCUGUUAAAAACUAAUUGUCAACCCUAUCUCUUUGGUAUGUUUGAAGUGGCUACAAAUAAACCAGUGACAAAAAACAAAUACACAUUAUCUUGGAAAUUUAGGUCUGUUUCAGCAUUGUUUCAGCAUUUUCAUAUCUAAUUUGGAGUCUGAUUUCAGGUUCCGAAGCAAUGCUGCUCCCAGAAACCUUUCUCAUGUUUCUUCUUAUUAUCAUCUUCUUAUCUUCUUGUUAGGAAUUGGAAAGCCUUCCAGGUUUUAAGGAUCUGGGAAAGACUAUUAUAACUGCAGUGGUUUAGUAUCUGCCACCCAGCCUUCAAAAAAUCUGCAUUCAAUACAUCUUCUAUUUUAAGAGAUACCAGUUCAUCCUAGAAUGAGAAGGAAAAGUUGGGGUUUUGCAGUUUUAGGAUGUCAGUACACUAGCAGGAAUAGAGCAACAAAAACAACUGCAGGUAGAGGUACUCUCUGAAUGAAGUGGUAUGGCCAUACCAGGAUAACUCCUCUGAAAUUCAAGGGAUAUGAGACAAAUCACAGCACCUCUAAGUGGCUUCUGGUCCUAAAGGGAGACAUGAAGCACCUUCCAAAGAUGAAUCUAGAAAGAAAAAAGCAUUAACUUAAUAUAAUUCAAAAUUACAGAGGAGGGCUUCUAUGGUACAUCCCCUGUCUUCCCACAAGCACUUCAAGGUUCCACUCAAGCGGAGCAUUUCUGAAGAGGGAGGAGGGAAAAGUGAGAUGAAUAAAUUUAUAAGUACAGCACUGCCCAAGGAAAAUAUUAUUACUGUCAGCCUUUACCAAAGUUCACUGGAGCCAAAACAGGCAUCAACCUCUGUCCCAUGCCUUGCAGCACACAGUGCCGAAGGUCUACGUCUUAAGUUGUGGUGCACUUACCAAACUGGAGUGUGUGCAGCCAAAAUCAAUUAA
rnacentral:lncRNA from 14 species